rnacentral:rRNA from 1 species
AACGAACGCUGGCGGCAUGCCUAACACAUGCAAGUCGAACGUGAUCCGGAGCUUGCUCCGGUGAAAGUGGCGCACGGGUGAGUAACGCGUGGGAACCUGCCCAGAGGUAGGGAAUAACCGCGGGAAACUGCGGCUAAUACCCUAUAUUCCCUUCGGGGGCAAGAUUUAUCGCCUUUGGAUGGGCCCGCGUCGGAUUAGCUAGUUGGUGAGGUAACGGCUCACCAAGGCGACGAUCCGUAGCUGGUCUGAGAGGAUGAUCAGCCACACUGGGACUGAGACACGGCCCAGACUCCUACGGGAGGCAGCAGUGGGGAAUAUUGGACAAUGGGCGCAAGCCUGAUCCAGCAAUGCCGCGUGAGUGAUGAAGGCCUUAGGGUUGUAAAGCUCUUUCGGCGGGGAAGAUGAUGACGGUACCCGCAGAAGAAGCCCCGGCUAACUUCGUGCCAGCCGCCGCCGUAAUAC